AGAGUUUGAUCCUGGCUCAGGACGAACGCUGGCGGCGUGCCUAAUACAUGCAAGUAGAACGCUGAAGAGAGGAGCUUGCUCUUCUUGGAUGAGUUGCGAACGGGUGAGUAACGCGUAGGUAACCUGCCUUGUAGCGGGGGAUAACUAUUGGAAACGAUAGCUAAUACCGCAUAACAAUGGAUGACCCAUGUCAUUUAUUUGAAAGGGGCAAAUGCUCCACUACAAGAUGGACCUGCGUUGUAUUAGCUAGUAGGUGAGGUAACGGCUCACCUAGGCGACGAUACAUAGCCGACCUGAGAGGGUGAUCGGCCACACUGGGACUGAGACACGGCCCAGACUCCUACGGGAGGCAGCAGUAGGGAAUCUUCGGCAAUGGGGGCAACCCUGACCGAGCAACGCCGCGUGAGUGAAGAAGGUUUUCGGAUCGUAAAGCUCUGUUGUAAGUCAAGAACGAGUGUGAGAGUGGAAAGUUCACACUGUGACGGUAGCUUACCAGAAAGGGACGGCUAACUACGUGCCAGCAGCCGCGGUAAUACGUAGGUCCCGAGCGUUGUCCGGAUUUAUUGGGCGUAAAGCGAGCGCAGGCGGUUUGAUAAGUCUGAAGUUAAAGGCUGUGGCUCAACCAUAGUUCGCUUUGGAAACUGUCAAACUUGAGUGCAGAAGGGGAGAGUGGAAUUCCAUGUGUAGCGGUGAAAUGCGUAGAUAUAUGGAGGAACACCGGUGGCGAAAGCGGCUCUCUGGUCUGUAACUGACGCUGAGGCUCGAAAGCGUGGGGAGCGAACAGGAUUAGAUACCCUGGUAGUCCACGCCGUAAACGAUGAGUGCUAGGUGUUGGAUCCUUUCCGGGAUUCAGUGCCGCAGCUAACGCAUUAAGCACUCCGCCUGGGGAGUACGACCGCAAGGUUGAAACUCAAAGGAAUUGACGGGGGCCCGCACAAGCGGUGGAGCAUGUGGUUUAAUUCGAAGCAACGCGAAGAACCUUACCAGGUCUUGACAUCCCGAUGCUAUUUCUAGAGAUAGAAAGUUACUUCGGUACAUCGGUGACAGGUGGUGCAUGGUUGUCGUCAGCUCGUGUCGUGAGAUGUUGGGUUAAGUCCCGCAACGAGCGCAACCCCUAUUGUUAGUUGCCAUCAUUCAGUUGGGCACUCUAGCGAGACUGCCGGUAAUAAACCGGAGGAAGGUGGGGAUGACGUCAAAUCAUCAUGCCCCUUAUGACCUGGGCUACACACGUGCUACAAUGGUUGGUACAACGAGUUGCGAGUCGGUGACGGCAAGCUAAUCUCUUAAAGCCAAUCUCAGUUCGGAUUGUAGGCUGCAACUCGCCUACAUGAAGUCGGAAUCGCUAGUAAUCGCGGAUCAGCACGCCGCGGUGAAUACGUUCCCGGGCCUUGUACACACCGCCCGUCACGCCACGAGAGUUUGUAACACCCGAAGUCGGUGAGGUAACCUUUUGGAGCCAGCCGCCUAAGGUGGGAUAGAUGAUUGGGGUGAAGUCGUAACAAGGUA
rnacentral:rRNA from 1 species